rnacentral:rRNA from 1 species
UACAGAGGUCUCAAGCGUUGUUCGGAUUCAUUGGGCGUAAAGGGUGCGUAGGCGGCGCGGUAAGUCGGGUGUGAAAUCUCGGAGCUUAACUCCGAAACUGCAUUCGAUACUGCCGUGCUUGAGGACUGGAGAGGAGACUGGAAUUUACGGUGUAGCGGUGAAAUGCGUAGAUAUCGUAAGGAAGACCAGUGGCGAAGGCGGGCCUCUGGGACAGUUCCUGACGCUGAGGCACGAAGGUCAGGGGGAGCAAACGGG